CAAAAAGUAGCUUAUUAAAAGCAUUCAAUUUACGAUUGAACGAUGUUAGAUUUAACCUAACCUUUCUGU
rnacentral:tRNA from 1 species